GGAUGUCUCCAGUAGGUGAAUUGAUAAUAGGAUGAGCGUGACGAAUGCAUUGAUUCGAUUGUUUAGAUCUAGCAUGGUCCAUUAAGUUCCCUGUUUUAUGACUUUAAAAAAUAAUGUCAAGUCGCCAAGUCAGCCGUUAGAAAGAAAAUAAUCAACUUACGUAACCCUCUCCCACCCUCUUGAAUUUCAACGAAUUUUUGUUAAGAUUUCUAAAAAUUAUACGAAAGAACAUCUUGACUAAAUCUCAGUCUGUCUGUUGAUUGUGCUAAGUGCAUUAUCAUUUCUGAGUAAGUGUUCAUAGUACCUACUUUUCUUACGUGAUUUUUCAAGUUUCAAUUUUCAAAAAAUGUUCUAAGUAAAUUAAAAUUUUUAAAGGUAUUUUUUUGAAUUAUUGAAUUUUCAGAUUUUUUAAAAAAUUUGAAUUUUUAGAUUUUUUUUUUAAAUUUGAAUUAUUUUCUGCAUUUCUUUAAAAUUUGAAUUUUUGAAAGUAUGUUUUGAAAUUAUUUAUUCAAUUACUCCAGAACCUGAAAAUGGAAAACUACGAAGCAGAGCUUCAUUGACUUCAAAAAUAACUUUACAUACUCAACCCUCCCACAAUCUUGGGGAAAAAUACAAGAAAAUGGACCCGAAUCCCCAUGGAAUAGCAGUCACCUAUUUUUAAUGUUCGCAAUCGAAAAAUUCCUGAAUUUAACACUCGCUCCUAUCUUCUCCAGGGCCAAUAAAAAAGCCAAAUUAGAAAAAUGGCCAGAAACGCCAAAAAGACUAAAGUUUUUAGAAUAUCUCCAGUAUUACCCCGGGUACUCGAUUUUGUAAGUAUUUUUCUUAAGUUUAUUAUUUAUUUUAAUUUUUGACGAUACAUUUUUAUUGAAAAAGAGAAACGCACAUUAAUUUUUUCAAUAUUUUAAGGUACAUAGUAUUAAAUUUUAAAAAUGAGAAUUUUGUUAAUUUAGCAGCAUUAAGUUUUAAAAAUAAUUUUUUUCAAAUAAGCAUUAUUGUAAAUUUUAAUUUCAAGAUGUAAACGUCUUUUAGCGUAGAAAAUAAUAAUUAUAGGUAAUGUAAAAAUACAGCACAUCUUGACCAAAUCUCAGUUUCUUAAUAUUAUUUUAGUGCAGUGUUUGUUCUUUGUACUUUUUUUUCGCAAUUUUUCAAAUACCCCUUUCAUACCAACCACGGGGGAGAGGGUGGAUUGCGUAUUGGUCUCGUAGAGGGAGGAGAAUGAGAAGGAAAGUGAAAGGGUGUUGGGUUAGCGAGCCACACUGAGCACGA